UACGGAAGGCAGCAGUGGGGAAUAUUGCACAAUGGGCGCAAGCCUGAUGCAGCCAUGCCGCGUGUAUGAAAAAGGCCUUCGGGUUGUAAAGUACUUUCAGUCGUGAGGAAGGUGUUAAGGUUAAUAACCUUAGCAAUUGACGUUAGCGACAGAAGAAGCACCGGCUAACUCCGUGCCAGCAGCCGCGGUAAUACGGAGGGUGCGAGCGUUAAUCGGAAUUACUGGGCGUAAAGGGCACGCAGGCGGUUAAUUAAGUUGGAUGUGAAAUCCCCGGGCUUAACCUGGGAAUGGCAUUCAAGACUGGUUAGCUAGAGUCUUGUAGAGGGGGUAGAAUUCCGAUGUGUAGCGGUGAAAUGCGUAGAGAUGUGGAGGAAUACCGGUGGCGAAGGCGGCCCCUGGACAAAGACUGACGCUCAUGGUGCGAAAGCGUGGGGAGCAAAC
rnacentral:rRNA from 1 species